AAUCAACGCUGGCGGCGUGCCUCAGACAUGCAAGUCGAACGAUUAAAGCUCUCUUCGGAGAGUGUAUAGAGUGGCGCACGGGUGAGUAACACGUAAGUAAUCUACCUUUGAGUGGGAAUAACAAUCGGAAACGAUUGCUAAUACCGCAUAAUGCAGCGGCACCGCAAGGUGACAGUUGUUAAAGGAGCAAUCCGCUUAAAGAGGAGCUUGCGGCAGAUAGCUAGUUGGUAAGGUAAUGGCUUACCAAGGCUACGAUCUGUAUCCGGUCUAAGAGGACGGUCGGACACACUGACACUGAAUAACGGGUCAGACUCCUACGGGAGGCAGCAGUCGGGAAUUUUGGGCAAUGGGCGAAAGCCUGACCAGCAACGCCGCGUGAAGGAUGAAGUAUUUCGGUA
rnacentral:rRNA from 1 species